rnacentral:rRNA from 1 species
AUGGGUUCAGGUCUCUUCAAGCCUCGUGUUCAUCCGGACCUCCGUGAUGUUUUCUCUAAGAUGUCUUUGGGUGACAAGAUUGGCUUUCUAUUCAUUCAUGCAUUUGACAAGAGAAACUUGUGGCACAAGAUGCCUGUUCUGAUCGGUUUACUCUACCUAAACACCCGCCGGACCCUCCUCGAGAAAUACAACCUGCUAGCUGUUGGGAGUUCUCAUGGUACUCUGUUUGACCCCAAGGAGUUCCCGUACCGCACCGGAGAUGGCAAGUACAACGACCCCCAUAAUGCUGAGGCUGGUAGCCAAUACACCUUUUUUGGGAGAAACAUGAAACCAGUUGAUCAACAGGAUGAGUUGAUGAGCCCAGAUCCAUUUGUUGUGGCGACAAAGCUGUUAGCCAGGCGAGAAUACAAGGACACAGGGAAGCAGUUCAAUAUACUAGCAGCUGCAUGGAUACAGUUCAUGGUUCAUGACUGGAUGGAUCAUAUGGAGGAUACCAAACAGAUUGAAAUCACUGCUCCAAAAGAAGUGGCCAAUGAGUGCCCCCUCAAAUCGUUCAAGUUCUACGCCACAAAAGAACAUCCUACAAAUUCUGAUGGAAUAAAGACUGGUUACAAUAAUGUCCGCACAGCUUGGUGGGAUGGGAGUGCAGUAUAUGGUAAUAAUGAGAAACAGGUAGAAAAGACCAGGACUUAUGUUGAUGGAAAACUAGUGAUCGGAGAUGACGGUCUUCUUUUGCAUGAGGAGAAUGGUGUGCCAUUAUCGGGCGACGUUCGCAAUGGUUGGGUUGGGGUUUCGAUCUUACAAGCUCUUUUUGUUAAGGAACACAAUGCAGUUUGUGAUGCAAUAAAGGAAGAUCAUCCCAACCUAUCAGAUGAAGAAUUAUAUCGGUAUGCCAAAUUGGUCACUUCUGCUGUCAUUGCAAAGAUUCACACUAUUGAUUGGACUGUCGAGCUUCUCAAGACUAAAACCAUGAGAGCUGCAAUGCGCGCAAAUUGGUAUGGAUUAUUGGGUAAGAAAUUUAAAGAUACAUUUGGUCACAUAGGAGGAACGGCAUUAGGUGGGCUUGUGGGAUUGAAGAAGCCGAUCAACCAUGGCGUACCUUAUUCUUUGACUGAAGAGUUUACCAGUGUUUACAGAAUGCAUUCCUUAAUACCAACCACUCUCAAGCUCAGGGAUCCAACCGGGCAACCCGCUGCAAAUAAUUCCCCACCAUACCUGGAAGAUAUCGAUAUUGGAGAGUUGGUUGGUCUCAAGGGGGAAGAUCAGCUUUCAAAAAUAGGGUUUGAAAAACAAACAUUAUCAAUGGGAUAUCAAGCUUGUGGUGCACUUGAACUAUGGAACUACCCAAGUUUCUUCAGGGACCUUAUACCACAAAAUUUGGAUGGUACCAAUCGAUCUGACAGAAUCGACCUUGCUGCCCUAGAAGUAUACCGAGACAGGGAGAGAAGUGUACCGAGGUACAAUGAGUUCAGGAGGAGACUAUUUCUGAUUCCAAUAAAAAGUUGGGAGGAUCUGACAAGUGACAAGGAUGCAAUUGAAGCCAUAAGAGCAAUAUAUGGAGAUGAUGUAGAGAAAUUGGAUCUUCUUGUUGGUCUUAUGGCAGAGAAAAAAAUCAAGGGAUUUGCCAUAAGCGAAACAGCAUUCAACAUUUUCAUUUUAAUGGCAUCAAGGAGGCUCGAAGCAGAUCGAUUUAUUACAAGCAAUUUCAAUGAGAAAACAUACACCAAGAAGGGGAUGCAGUGGGUCAAAACAACUGAAGGCCUACGAGAUGUGAUCAACCGGCACUACCCUGAAAUUACUGCCAACUGGAUGAGGUCCUCUAGUGCUUUCUCUGUGUGGGAUGCAGACUACUAG